GAGACCGAUAGAGACUGAUAGAGACAGACAGAGAGACCGAUAGAGACCGAUAGAGACUGAUAGAGACAGACAGAGAGAGACCCAGAGACCGAUAGAGACCGAUAGAGACAGACAGACAGGUCCUAGAAUUAGAUAUGGCUGGCCCAUUUCUUUUACAUCUUACAUCACUAGUUGUUGAUAUCAUGUCAAACAUGUUCAUACCCUUACAGGUUAGUGAAAUAUUAAUGGUGUCUGUUUAUUGUUGUAUGAAUGCAGGAAACAUUAUCCCUCAGGAUGGCAGGUAGCCUCGAGGUUAGAGUGUUGGGCCAGAGAUGAAAAAUCUGUCGCUGUGCCCUUGAGCAAGGUACUUUAAACCUAAUUGCUCCAGGGGCUCUGUACAAUGGUGACCCUGACCGUGACCCCACUUCCUGCAGGUGUCUCGGGGGAGUUGGGAUAUGGUGACCCUGACCGUGACCCCACUCCCUGCAGGUGUCUCGGGGGAGUUGGGAUAUGGUGACCUGACCGUGACCCCACUCCCUGCAGGUGUCUCGGGGGAGUUGGGAUAUGGUGACUCUGACCGUGACCCCACUCCCUGCAGGUGUCUCAGGGGGAGUUGGGAUAUGGUGACCCUGACCGUGACCCCACUCCCUGCAGGUGUCUCGGGGAGUUGGGAUAUGGUGACCCUGACCGUGACCCCACUCCCUGCAGGUGUCUCAGGGGGAGUUGGGAUAUGGUGACCCUGACCGUGACCCCACUCCCUGCAGGUGUCUCGGGGGAGUUGGGAUAUGGUGACCCUGACCGUGACCCCACUCCCUGCAGGUGUCUCGGGGGAGUUGGGAUAUGGUGACCCUGACCGUGACCCCACUCCCUGCAGGUGUCUCGGGGGAGUUGGGAUAUGCAAGAAAUACACUUGUGUGUGACAGGACAAAUAUAAGCCCCGCCCCACAAUCCUUUUGAAAUAUUUGUCCCAAAUGGCCCUCUAUUCCCUUUAUAGUCCAGAUGGGUCCUGGUCCAGAUGGGUUCUGGUCCGGAUGGGUUCUGGUCCGGAUGGGUCCUGGUCCAGAUGGGUCCUGGUCCAGAUGGGUUCUGCUCCAGAUGGGCCCUGGUCCAGAUGUGUUCUGGUCCAGAUGGGUCCUGGUCCAAAUGGGUUCUGGUCCAGAUGGGUCCUGGUCCAAAGCAGUGUAGUGAAUAGAGAAUAGGUGCCAUUCGGAACAUAGUUAUGAGGCUCUAGUUAGGAGCUGUUUGAAUCGUUUUUAACAGUGGAUGCUGUACAUCAGGUCUCCUAAUAUUCAUUUCAUGUGUCUCUAUGUAUUUGAGAGGAUGGACAAGUUUGCUUUUAUUUGCCAGGAAGUUGAGAUUUCAUUAAUUUGUCAGUUAAAAAAAAUAAAAAAUGUAAAUGUUGUAUUAACUUUAGAGUCUUACAGUCUCAGAUGAGGUGCAGGAAGCACCAAUGACUUCUGAAGGAAAGUGUUUGGGUUCUGUCCCGAAUGGCACCCUAUUGCCUGUGUAGUGCACUACCUUUUUAAACAGGGCCUUAUGGGGACGCAGCCGUUGACUUUGUUUCAGGGGAUGGUGUGGAAGUCUUCUAUGCCUCAGAAGAAGGUCCAAGAUCUUCACACUACAAGAUCUUCAACAGUUCAAGUCCUGAAGCAGCUGAACCACUAAUGAUGCUAAUAUGAAGAGUGUCUGGACACUACACGCUACACACACACACACACACGCAUACACUACACACUACACAUGCUACACACAUGCUACACACACUACACACGCUACACAGACACUACACACGCUACACACAUACAGCACACAGUUCACACACACACACUACUCACACACACACUACACACAUACACUACACACUACAAUUCUAGUCAGGAUACCAUAAAUAUGUUUUUUUAUCACCCAGACAGUUUGAAUUUGUCUUCUUUUUUUCCUUAUAAUUCCACCAAUCAAGUUAUUAACCAAUAUAUUAAAAGCAAAAAAAAAUAAAGAAAUAAAAAAUGA